rnacentral:lncRNA from 1 species
CUCUGUCUCCCAUCUGAAAAGGUUGCGGCGGCUGCUGUUCUUGCUAGCUACGGUCGGCCGGCAGUCUUCUUCUUUGCCGCAAGCCGGAUUCAGUUACGGGGAGGAUGCAAAAGGAGCGACCACGGCAAGGCGGCGGCCACGACUAUGACAUCUCAGUCUCACACGGCUCCAAAACUCGCUCUGUCGACAUCGCCAGGAGGUACAGGAGCCCUCCGAUUCUAUCCAUCUUUUAUUUGUUUGUUGAUUCAACAGAUGCACAUGACAGGCUCUUGGGAUUGCAUUGCAGAUGUCUAGGUUCGGGUAAUGGACGUGUUGUGAUGUUAUUCUGUAACUAAACUUAACUGCUGAACUGGUGAUGUUAUUCCUGCUGCAGACUUUGAUUUAUAUUGAUAUGUAUGUGUUGAACUGGUGCAGAACUCUAUUAUACUUGUUAUGUUUGAAUUUACCCCUGAAAAUCCUCUGUUUUAUGUAGAAAAUCCCCUGUUUUCUGAGAAAAAUGUGCACAUGUACUAGUUUGGACGUGGGAUAUGCGUGCACAUGCACUGUAGCCGCGAAAUGGGUUAGCGGCCGCUAUCCGCUAUAGAGCCUGUAGCGUUUGAAUGAGCUUGCCGCGAAAUGGUUUAGCCUGCGAUUUAAAACUUUGCGAAAAACUGGAGGUCCCAAACUAUCUCCUUGAUUGCUCUCGAAGAGUCAUAAUUGUAGAGUCAUAAUUAGCGUGGUGAGUAUAUGUUUGGCAUGCAUGAUUAGCGUGCUGGUAGAUGGAACAGGGUCAUAAUUGUUAAUCCUUGUAAGAUUUGUUGAAUAUGUGGCAUUGACAUGCCAAUUAUAGAGUUUGGUUGUGCAUGUAUCCAAAUUAUUAGCUAAUUCAAAAUUCUAUAUUUCUGCUGAAUAUAUGUUGCCAUGCCCUCAUAUUUUUGUAGAAAUAUAUGCUAAAUGGUGAGAUGGGUCAUAAGGAAGUACCAAUAUUUUUACGUGGACCUACUUUUGUGUUUUGCUAUAUUCUUUACCCUUCUGUUCUGCAUAUGUAAGAUUUUCUAAGUUAGCUGGAUAGAGUUUAACUCGAAUUAUUGAUUUGAGCCAAACCCCAAGGUAAAAGCAAGAGCAACACAUGCUACAUGUUACUAUUAGACAUACAUAUAGGAUAGGACUCUUACAUUCUUAUUCAGUGACUGUUACACCCUCACUGAACCCACACAUCACACUUCUUUUAGCUAACCGACUCAAGAGUCACACUCAACAGACAGACUAACACAUGAAGACUCCCAUUCACUAACACAACCGACCAUUAUGUAGCUGAUGAAAAAUUCAAGAACACCAUACAGGACAAGAAACUCAUGAUAAUGACAACACAAGGACACACUCAUGAUAAUGAC